AUGCAUGGAGAAAUGCUCAACUCCUGAUGCAUGGAGAAAAGGCCUUCACAAGCCUCUGCUAAUGUGUACCUAGUUUAUACUAAGUGACCCAUAGGUUGAUUUUACUUGGGGUAGCCCCCAAAAUAUUGGGACAUAUAAAAAAACACAACUCUGUUCCGCAGAGUAGUUGUUGACAUUAUAGUUGCGCAGGCACUUAGUUGACUCUAGAGAACCUCUGGCCAAUCGCACAUCCCCGUGACGGCGACUUUGUAUUCAGAUGCCAUCCAUAUCAACUUUCGAUGCCAGUUUCUGCGCCUACCAUGGUGACCAUGGGUAACGGGGAAUCAGGGUUCCAUUCCGUACAGGGACCCUGAGAAACGGCCACAACACGCAAGGAAGGCAACAGGCGCGCAAAUGACCCACUCCAGACGUGGGAAGGUAGUGACGACAAAUAACAAUACAGGACUCUUUAGAGGCCUUGUAAUUGUAAUGAGUCCACUUGAAAUCAUUUAACUCUGAUCAAUUGGAGGGAAGUCUGGUGCAGAGCCACUGGCCCAUGCGU
rnacentral:rRNA from 1 species